rnacentral:rRNA from 1 species
UACAGAGGGUGCGAGCGUUAAUCGGAAUUAUUGGGCGUAAAGGGCGUGUAGGUGGAUUUACAAGUUUUGAUGUGAAAGCCCCGGGCUUAACCUGGGAACGGCGUUGAAGACUGUAAGACUAGAGUUGGACAGAGGGUAGUGGAAUUUCCGGUGUAGCGGUGAAAUGCGUAGAGAUCGGAAAGAACACCCGUGGCGAAGGCGGCUACCUGGGUCCGAACUGACACUGAGGCGCGAAAGCGUGGGGAGCGAACAGG